UACGUAGGGUGCAAGCGUUGUCCGGAAUUAUUGGGCGUAAAGAGCUCGUAGGCGGCUUGUCGCGUCGGCUGUGAAAACCUAGGGCUCAACCUGGGCCUGCAGCCGAUACGGGCAAGCUAGAAUUCGGUAGGGGAGACUGGAAUUCCUGGUGUAGCGGUGAAAUGCGCAGAUAUCAGGAGGAACACCGGUGGCGAAGGCAGGUCUCUGGGCAUUAACUGACGCUGAGGAGCGAAAGCAUGGGGAGCGAACAGG
rnacentral:rRNA from 1 species